GACGAACGCUGGCGGCGUGCCUAAUACAUGCAAGUUGAGCGCUGAAGGUUGGUACUUGUACCAACUGGAUGAGCAGCGAACGGGUGAGUAACGCGUGGGGAAUCUGCCUUUGAGCGGGGGACAACAUUUGGAAACGAAUGCUAAUACCGCAUAAAAACUUUAAACACAAGUUUUAAGUUUGAAAGAUGCAAUUGCAUCACUCAAAGAUGAUCCCGCGUUGUAUUAGCUAGUUGGUGAGGUAAAGGCUCACCAAGGCGAUGAUACAUAGCCGACCUGAGAGGGUGAGCGGCCACAGUGGGACUGAGACACGGCCCAAACUCCUACGGGAGGCAGCAGUAGGGAAUCUUCGGCAAUGGACGAAAGUCUGACCGAGCAACGCCGCGUGAGUGAAGAAGGUUUUCGGAUCGUAAAACUCUGUUGGUAGAGAAGAACGUUGGUGAGAGUGGAAAGCUCAUCAAGUGACGGUAACUACCCAGAAAGGGACGGCUAACUACGUG
rnacentral:rRNA from 1 species